UCAGUUGGUAGAGCGUGAGACUUGAAAUCCAGAAAUUUUCGCCGCAAGGUUCGAAUCUG
rnacentral:tRNA from 12 species